rnacentral:rRNA from 1 species
AGACCGAUAGCGAACAAGUAGAGUGAUCGAAAGAUGAAAAGCACUUUGNAAAAGAGAGUUAAACAGCACGUGAAAUUGUUGAAAGGGAAGCGCUUGCGACCAGACUCGGCCCCGGGGUUCAGCCAGCACUCGUGCUGGUGUACUUCCCCGGGGGCGGGCCAGCGUCGGUUUGGGCGGCCGGUCAAAGGCCCCAGGAAUGUAUCGCCCUCCGGGGUUGUCUUAUAGCCUGGGGUGCAAUGCGGCCAGCCCGGACCGAGGGAACGCGCUUCGGCACGGACGCUGGCGUAAUGGUCGCAAACGACCCGUCUUGAAACACGGACCAAG